rnacentral:rRNA from 1 species
AGUGAACGCUGGCGGUAGGCCUAACACAUGCAAGUCGAACGGCAGCACAGUAAGAGCUUGCUCUUACGGGUGGCGAGUGGCGGACGGGUGAGGAAUACAUCGGAACCUACUUUUUCGUGGGGGAUAACGUAGGGAAACUUACGCUACUACCGCAUACGACCUACGGGUCUAAGCAGGGGAUCUUUGGACCUUGCGCGAUUGAAUGAGCCGAUGUCGGAUUAGCUAGUUGGCGGGGGAAAGGCCAACCAAGGCGACGAUCCGUAGGCGGUCUGAGAGGAUGAUCAGCCACACUGGAACUGAGACACGCUCCCGACUCCGACGGGAGGCAGCAGUGGGGAAUAUUGGGCAAUGGGCGCAAGCCUGAACCAGCCAUACCGCGUGAGUGAGGAAGGCCUUCGGGUUGUAAAGCCCGUUUGUUGGGAAAGAAAAGCAGCAGGUUAAUACCCAGCUGUUCUGACGGUACCCAAAGAAUAAGCACCGGCUAACUUCGUG